rnacentral:rRNA from 1 species
GGGGCAACCCUGAUCAGCCAUGCCGCGUGAGUGAAGAAGGCCUUCGGGUUGUAAAGCUCUUUCGGUGGGAACGAAACGGUUACUCCUAACACGGGUGACUACUGACGGUACUCACAGAAGAAGCACCGGCUAACUACGUGCCAGCAGCCGCGGUAAUACGUAGGGUGCGAGCGUUAAUCGGAAUUACUGGGCGUAAAGCGUGCGCAGGCGGUGGCUCAAGCCAGGCGUGAAAUCCCCGGGCUUAACCUGGGAAUGGCGUUUGGGACUGGGUCGCUAGAGUGUGGCAGAGGGAGGUGGAAUUCCACGUGUAGCGGUGAAAUGCGUAGAGAUGUGGAGGAACACCAGUGGCGAAGGCGACUCUCUGGUCUGUAACUGACGCUGAGGAGCGAAAGCGUGGGGAGCAAACAGGAUUAGAUACCCUGGUAGUCCACGCCGUAAACGAUGAGUGCUAAGUGUUAGAGGGUUUCCGCCCUUUAGUGCUGAAGUUAACGCAUUAAGUACUCCGCCUGGGGAGUACGG